ensembl:lncRNA
CUGAGGCUUCACUCCCCCUGUAAUGGGUCAGCUAGUUAGCUCCAACUGCUAAUUAGCCAGCUGCUAAUUUAGCUAGCACUAAGUAGCUACCUUAACAACCAGCUAGAAAAUAAAUAUGUAAAGUAUAUUUUAUUGUAGCGCCACAGCUGACAUUUAUGUGUGUUUUAUCGAUCACUGGGAAACAACGGUGCUGAACAAACACGCUAUUCAAAUGAGAGUCAGUCCCGCUGGAGGGAAGCUGAGCUCUGAAGGCUAAACUCCCAGGAGGAUCCGAGAGACACGCCGACCUCUGGACGGUGCAGCGGGGGACAAUAACCGGCCAUGAUUGGAAUCGUUGGAUGAACUGAGCGUUUCAGAAGAACAGAGCCGCUGGUUUUGCAUCUUAUUUUCCUGUCUAAAUAAAACGGAUGAUGCAAAUUCCUGCUCUGUCGCCGCUGUUUGGAUCAGCUGUGUGGUUUGGUGUUAAUAUUCAUCAGAGUUCAGCUUGACGUAUGCAAUAGGAUGGACAGAGCUAACGUGUUAAAG